UACGUAGGGUCCGAGCGUUGUCCGGAAUUAUUGGGCGUAAAGGGCUCGUAGGCGGUUUGUCGCGUCGGGAGUGAAAACUCAGGGCUCAACCCUGAGCGUGCUUCCGAUACGGGCAGACUAGAGGUAUGCAGGGGAGAACGGAAUUCCUGGUGUAGCGGUGGAAUGCGCAGAUAUCAGGAGGAACACCGGUGGCGAAGGCGGUUCUCUGGGCAUUACCUGACGCUGAGGAGCGAAAGCGUGGGGAGCGAACAGG
rnacentral:rRNA from 1 species